AUCGCUUCUCGGCCUUUUGGCUAAGAUCAAGUGUAGUAUCUGUUCUUAUCAGUUUAAUGUAAACUCUACACCCAAAGUGGGGCUUGAACUCAGCACCCUAAGAUCAAGAGUCACAUGCUCUACUGACUGAGCCAGCUGGGCAUCCCCAGUUUUCCUUUCUAUACCUUUACUCACCUCCCCAACCUUU